rnacentral:rRNA from 1 species
UACGUAGGGGGCAAGCGUUGUCCGGAUUUAUUGGGCGUAAAGAGCGUGUAGGCGGCCUGGUAGGUCAGCUGUGAAAACUCGAGGCUCAACCUCGAGACGCCGGUUGAAACCAUCAGGCUAGAGUCCGGAAGAGGAGAGUGGAAUUCCCGGUGUAGCGGUGAAAUGCGCAGAUAUCGGGAAGAACACCCGUGGCUAAGGCGGCUCUCUAGUACGGUACUGACGCUGAGACGCGAAAGCGUGGGAGCGAACAGG